UACGUAGGGUGCGAGCGUUGUCCGGAAUCAUUGGGCGUAAAGAGCGCGUAGGCGGCCCAGUAAGUCCGCUCUGAAAGUCAGGGGCUCAACCCCUGGAUGCGGGUGGAUACUGCUGGGCUAGAGUCCGGAAGAGGUGAGUGGAAUUCCUGGUGUAGCGGUGAAAUGCGCAGAUAUCAGGAGGAACACCGAUGGCGAAGGCAGCUGCACUGGGACGGUGACUGACGCUGAGGCGCGAAAGCGUGGGGAGCAAACAGG
rnacentral:rRNA from 1 species